GACGAACGCUGGCGGCGUGGAUUAGGCAUGCAAGUCGAACGGUAUCAUCCUUUCGGGGGUGAGAGAGUGGCGAACUGGUGAGUAACACGUAGGUUAUCUACCCUCAAGACGGGGACAACCCAGGGAAACUUGGGCUAAUACCGGAUGUGAGCAACUUUUAGUUGUUUGAAAGGUGGCGUAAGCUGUCGCUUGGGGAUGAGCCUGCGUCCUAUUAGUUAGUUGGUGAGGUAACGGCUCACCUAGGCAAUGAUAGGUAGGCGGCCUUAACGGGUGGUCGCCCACACUGGGAUUGAGAUACGGCCCAGACUCCUACGGGAGGCAGCAGUCGAGAAUAGUCUACAAUGGUCGGAAGACUGAUAGUGCGACGCCGCGUGAACGAUGAAUCCCUUCGGGGUGUAAAGUUCUUUUAUAUGUGAGCAGUGCUUCUUAUAUUAACAGUAUGGGGAGAGAGAUAUUAGCAUAUGAAUAAGCGACGGCUAACUCCGUGCCAGCAGCCGACGGU
rnacentral:rRNA from 1 species